GGGAAUUUUCCGCAAUGGGCGAAAGCCUGACGGAGCAAUACCGCGUGAGGGAUGACGGCCUAUGGGUUGUAAACCUCUUUUUUCAGGGAGGAAUCAAUGACGUGUACCUGAAGAAUAAGCAUCGGCUAACUCCGUGCCAGCAGCCGCGGUAAGACGGAGGAUGCAAGUGUUAUCCGGAAUCACUGGGCGUAAAGCGUCUGUAGGUGGUUUGAUAAGUCAACUGUUAAAUCUUGAGGCUCAACCUCAAAAUCGCAGUCGAAACUAUUAGACUAGAGUAUAGUAGGGGUAAAGGGAAUUUCCAGUGGAGCGGUGAAAUGCGUAGAUAUUGGAAAGAACACCGAUGGCGAAGGCACUUUACUGGGCUAUUACUAACACUCAGAGACGAAAGCUAGGGUAGCAAAUGGGAUUAGAUACCCCAGUAGUCA
rnacentral:rRNA from 1 species